GACGAACGCUGGCGGCGUGCUUAACACAUGCAAGUCGAACGGAAAGGCCCUGCUUUUGGGGGUCUCUCGCGUGGAGAGCGGGUGAGUAACUCGUGAGUAACCUGCCCUUCUCUAUGAUAUAACUACAUGAAACUGGCGCUAACACCUGACAGGAGCUCCUUCUGUAUGGUGGGGGUUGGAAAGUUUGGGCGGUUGGGGAUGGACUCGCGGUUUAUCCGCUUGUUGGUGGGGUAGUGGCUUACCAAGGGUUUGACGGGUCGCCGACCUGGGGGGGGGGCCGGCCACAUGGGGACUGAGAUACGGCCCAGACUCCUACGGGAGGCAGCGGUGGGGAAUAUGGCACAAUGGGCGGAAGCCUGAUGCAGAAACGCCGGGUGCGGGAUGACGGCUUUCGGGUGGUAAACCGCUUUCGCCUGUGACGAAGCGUGAGUGACGGUAAUGGGUAAAGAAGCACCGGCUAACUACGUG
rnacentral:rRNA from 1 species